rnacentral:tRNA from 1 species
GUUUUCGUAAUUUAAUAAAAAUAUUAGUCUUGUAAACUAAAAAUAAGCUGGUCUUCGAAAACA